CUUCCAGAGGGAAUCCACCGCGUGGAUAAUUCUGUCCAGGCGCUGGUCUCAUCAUUCUUGGCAUAGCUCCAGCCAGGCUUGUCAUUUUUGGUUAUAUGUCCCAAUAUUAGAUCCAAGUGGCUGUUGCAGAUUGCCAGAUGCCCCUUCCUGCCUGGGUACAGGCUAGCUCGCCCUGUUGCUCCCUGGGUGCAGGCUAGCUCGCACUGUGGCUCCCUGGGUAGAGACUUGCUUGCCCUGUGGCUCCCUGGGUAGAGGCUUGCUCGCCCUGUGGCUCCCUGGGUGCAGAGCAGAGGGUGCAGUGAGGCAGUGUGCUGGCAGUCUCCCUCAGACAGCUCCUUGUUGU